GCGUGGCAGACGGGUGAGUAACACGUGGGCAACCUGCCCGGAGGUGGGGAUAACCCUUCGAAAGGAGGGCUAAUACCGCAUGACAUCCCGGAGUCUUUGGACAUCAGGAUCAAAGCUGGCCUCUACUUGUAAGCUAGCGCCACCGGAGGGGCCCGCGUCCCAUUAGCUAGUUGGUGAGGUAACGGCUCACCAAGGCUACGAUGGGUAGCCGGCCUGAGAGGGCGACCGGCCACACUGGAACUGCGACACGGUCCAGACUCCUACGGGAGGCAGCAGUGAGGAAUCUUGCGCAAUGGGCGAAAGCCUGACGCAGCGACGCCGCGUGGAGGAUGAAGGUCUUCGGAUCGUAAACUCCUGUCGAGCGGGACGAAAUUCGGGAGGGUGAACAAUCCUUUCGAUUGACGGUACCGCUGGAGGAAGCCCCGGCUAACUCCGUGCCAGCAGCCGCGGUAAUACGGAGGGGGCCAGCGUUGUUCGGAAUCAUUGGGCGUAAAGGGCGCGUAGGCGGCCACGCAAGUCGAAUGUGAAAUCCCUCGGCUCAACCGAGGAACUGCAUCCGAAACUGCGAGGCUCGAGUCCUGGAGAGGGUAGUGGAAUUCCCAGUGUAGCGGUGAAAUGCGUAGAUACUGGGAGGAACACCGGUGGCGAAGGCGGCUACCUGGACAGGUAC
rnacentral:rRNA from 1 species